AGAGUUUGAUCAUGGCUCAGAUUGAACGCUGGCGGCAUGCCUUACACAUGCAAGUCGAACGGUAACGGAUCCUUCGGGAUGCCGACGAGUGGCGAACGGGUGAGUAAUACAUCGGAACGUGCCUGGUAGUGGGGGAUAACUACUCGAAAGAGUGGCUAAUACCGCAUGAGAUCUCAGGAUGAAAGCAGGGGACCCUCGGGCCUUGCGCUAUCAGAGCGGCCGAUGGCAGAUUAGGUAGUUGGUGGGAUAAAAGCUUACCAAGCCGACGAUCUGUAGCUGGUCUGAGAGGACGAUCAGCCACACUGGGACUGAGACACGGCCCAGACUCCUACGGGAGGCAGCAGUGGGGAAUUUUGGACAAUGGGCGCAAGCCUGAUCCAGCAAUGCCGCGUGCAGGAUGAAGGCCUUCGGGUUGUAAACUGCUUUUGUACGGAACGAAAAGCUUCGGGCUAAUACCCUGGAGUCAUGACGGUACCGUAAGAAUAAGCACCGGCUAACUACGUGCCAGCAGCCGCGGUAAUACGUAGGGUGCAAGCGUUAAUCGGAAUUACUGGGCGUAAAGCGUGCGCAGGCGGUUUUGUAAGACAGUGGUGAAAUCCCCGGGCUCAACCUGGGAACUGCCAUUGUGACUGCAAGGCUGGAGUGC
rnacentral:rRNA from 1 species